GCUCAGUGCAAGGGGAAAGUUUUAAACAGUCUUCAUCCUAGUGCUGCUGGUCCGGUGAAAUCUGGUGCCUUCAGCAGCUGAUUUAAAGUUUAUUUAAAAAAGAAAAAGGGAUUUGAACUUGAAGCUGNAUAUCCAUUUGCAAAGGGAGGCGCUCACUGCUGCUCACGAAGGGUCUCUUCAUCUUCCUGAUAUAUGGGGUGUACAACACAGAGUUCAACCCACUGUCAAUUGUAUUUCUGUAAACUUGUUAGCAUCUUCAGAUGCAAAAUACGAAGAUGGAUAGAGGAAGAUCAGAUCCUUUGCAUGAUGACAUAGGCCCCAGUGAGUUCAACAGGGUUUAUUCU
rnacentral:lncRNA from 1 species